rnacentral:rRNA from 1 species
GACGUAGGGGGCCAGCGUUGUUCGGAAUUACUGGGCGUAAAGGGCUCGUAGGUGGCCAACUAAGUCAGACGUGAAAUCCCUCGGCUUAACCGGGGAACUGCGUCUGAUACUGGAUGGCUUGAGUUCGGGAGAGGGAUGCGGAAUUCCAGGUGUAGCGGUGAAAUGCGUAGAUAUCUGGAGGAACACCGGUGGCGAAGGCGGCAUCCUGGACCGACACUGACACUGAGGAGCGAAAGCCAGGGGAGCAAACGGG